AGAGUUUGAUCCUGGCUCAGGACGAACGCUGGCGGCGUGCUUAAUACAUGCAAGUCGAACGGAGUUAAGGGUUUCGGCCUUUAACUUAGUGGCGAACGGGUGAGUAACGCGUGAAUAACCUGACUCAAAGAGGGGGAUAACAACGGGAAACUGUUGCUAAUACCGCAUGAGACCACAACACCGCAUGAUGAAGGGGUCAAAGAUUUAUCGCUUUGAGAGGGGUUCGCGUCCCAUUAGGUAGUUGGAGGGGUAACGGCCCACCAAGCCAACGAUGGGUAGCCGAGCUGAGAGGCUGAUCGGCCACACUGGAACUGAGACACGGUCCAGACUCCUACGGGAGGCAGCAGUAGGGAAUAUUGGGCAAUGGGCGCAAGCCUGACCCAGCAACGCCGCGUGAGGGAAGAAGGUUUUCGGAUUGUAAACCUCUGUCCUAUGUGACGAAGGAAGUGACGGUAGCAUAGGAGGAAGCCCCGGCUAACUACGUGCCAGCAGCCGCGGUAAUACGUAGGGGGCGAGCGUUGUCCGGAAUUACUGGGCGUAAAGGGUGCGUAGGCGGUUUGGUAAGUUGGAUGUGAAAUACCCGGGCUUAACUUGGGGGCUGCAUCCAAUACUGUCGGACUUGAGUGCAGGAGAGGAAAGCGGAAUUCCUAGUGUAGCGGUGAAAUGCGUAGAUAUUAGGAGGAACACCGGUGGCGAAGGCGGCUUUCUGGACUGUAACUGACGCUGAGGCACGAAAGCGUGGGGAGCAAACAGGAUUAGAUACCCUGGUAGUCCACGCCGU
rnacentral:rRNA from 1 species